UACAGAGGGUGCGAGCGUUAAUCGGAUUUACUGGGCGUAAAGGGUGCGUAGGUGGUAAAGCAAGUAAGAUGUGAAAGCCCUGGGCUUAACCUGGGAAGUGCAUCUUAAACUGCUUAACUAGAGUAUGGUAGAGGGUAGUGGAAUUUCCGGUGUAGCGGUGAAAUGCGUAGAGAUCGGAAGGAACGCCAGUGGUGAAGACGACUACCUGGACCAAUACUGACACUGAGGCACGAAAGCGUGGGGAGCGAACAGG
rnacentral:rRNA from 1 species